GGUGGCGGGGUGCUAUACAUGCAAGUCGAGCGGACAGAUGGGAGCUUGCUCCCUGAUGUUAGCGGCGGACGGGUGAGUAACACGUGGGUAACCUGCCUGUAAGACUGGGAUAACUCCGGGAAACCGGGGCUAAUACCGGAUGCUUGUUUGAACCGCAUGGUUCAAACAUAAAAGGUGGCUUCGGCUACCACUUACAGAUGGACCCGCGGCGCAUUAGCUAGUUGGUGAGGUAAUGGCUCACCAAGGCGACGAUGCGUAGCCGACCUGAGAGGGUGAUCGGCCACACUGGGACUGAGACACGGCCCAGACUCCUACGGGAGGCAGCAGUAGGGAAUCUUCCGCAAUGGACGAAAGUCUGACGGAGCAACGCCGCGUGAGUGAUGAAGGUUUUCGGAUCGUAAAGCUCUGUUGUUAGGGAAGAACAAGUACCGUUCGAAUAGGGCGGUACCUUGACGGUACCUAACCAGAAAGCCACGGCUAACUACGUGCCAGCAGCCGCGGUAAUACGUAGGUGGCAAGCGUUGUCCGGAAUUAUUGGGCGUAAAGGGCUCGCAGGCGGUUUCUUAAGUCUGAUGUGAAAGCCCCCGGCUCAACCGGGGAGGGUCAUUGGAAACUGGGGAACUUGAGUGCAGAAGAGGAGAGUGGAAUUCCACGUGUAGCGGUGAAAUGCGUAGAGAUGUGGAGGAACACCAGUGGCGAAGGCGACUCUCUGGUCUGUAACUGACGCUGAGGAGCGAAAGCGUGGGGAGCGAACAGGAUUAGAUACCCUGGUAGUCCACGCCGUAAACGAUGAGUGCUAAGUGUUAGGGGGUUUCCGCCCCUUAGUGCUGCAGCUAACGCAUUAAGCACUCCGCCUGGGGAGUACGGUCGCAAGACUGAAACUCAAAGGAAUUGACGGGGGCCCGCACAA
rnacentral:rRNA from 1 species